rnacentral:rRNA from 1 species
CCUACGGGCGGCUGCAGUGGGGAAUAUUGGACAAUGGGGGGAACCCUGAUCCAGCCAUGCCGCGUGUGUGAAGAAGGCCCUCGGGUUGUAAAGCACUUUCAGUGAGGAAGAACGCCUGGUGGUUAAUACCCAUCAGGAAAGACAUCACUCACAGAAGAAGCCCCGGCUAACUCCGUGCCAGCAGCCGCGGUAAUACGGAGGGUGCGAGCGUUAAUCGGAAUUACUGGGCGUAAAGCGCGCGUAGGUGGCUUGAUAAGCCGGUUGUGAAAGCCCCGGGCUCAACCUGGGAACGGCAUCCGGAACUGUCAAGCUAGAGUGCAGGAGAGGAAGGUAGAAUUCCCGGUGUAGCGGUGAAAUGCGUAGAGAUCGGGAGGAAUACCAGUGGCGAAGGCGGCCUUCUGGACUGACACUGACACUGAGGUGCGAAAGCGUGGGUAGCAAACAGGAUUAGAUACCCCUGUAGUC